rnacentral:rRNA from 1 species
AAAAAUAUUAAAAAUUAGGUAGUAAAGGAGACUCCGAAACCUAAAGGACUUGGCGGUAUUUUAAAUAAUUGGAGGAACUUGUUGUUUAAUUGAAAUUACACAACAAAUCUUUCCUUGUUUUUGCUUGUAUAUCAUUGUUUAAAGAUAAUAUUUUCUAAUAUAAUCUAGAAUAAGAUUGUUCAGGAAAUCAAAUCAAGGCGCAGCAUAACAAGGUUAUAGUGAGUUACAAUGAAAUUCAUUCAAAACGGAUAUACAAAUUAAAAAUAUAUUGAAGGUGGAUUCAAAAAUAAUAAAAAAUUAAAAAGUCUUUAUGAAUAAUGAUUUAAAAUAUGC